UGAACUUCUGGUGUUCCUGUAUCCGUUGGU
rnacentral:piRNA from 1 species